rnacentral:ncRNA from 1 species
CAGGAAAUACACGGAGAUGAUUCCUGUUAAAUAACAGAUUGUUAUAAAUUUAAAGAAUAA